rnacentral:rRNA from 1 species
GACGAACGCUGGCGGCGUGCUUAACACAUGCAAGUCGAACGGAAAGGCCCUGCUUUUGUGGGGUGCUCGAGUGGCGAACGGGUGAGUAACACGUGAGUAACCUGCCCUUGACUUUGGGAUAACUUCAGGAAACUGGGGCUAAUACCGGAUAGGAGCUCCUGCUGCAUGGUGGGGGUUGGAAAGUUUCGGCGGUUGGGGAUGGACUCGCGGCUUAUCAGCUUGUUGGUGGGGUAGUGGCUUACCAAGGCUUUGACGGGUAGCCGGCCUGAGAGGGUGACCGGCCAGAGUGGGACAGAGAUACGGCCGGGGCGCCAGCGGGAGGCAGCAGUGGGGAGUGUUGCACGAUGGGCGGAAGCCUGAUGCAGCAACGCCGCGUGGGGGAUGACGGCGUUCGGGUUGUAAACGGCUUCCGCCUGUGACGAAGCGUGAGAGACGGUGAUGGGAAAAGAAGCACAGGCUAACUAGAGG